AUUGAACGCUGGCGGCAUGCCUUACACAUGCAAGUCGAACGGUAACAGGUCUUCGGAUGCUGACGAGUGGCGAACGGGUGAGUAAUACAUCGGAACGUGCCCGAUCGUGGGGGAUAACGAAGCGAAAGCAUUGCUAAUACCGCAUAAGAUCUACGGAUGAAAGCAGGGGACCGCAAGGCCUUGCGCGAACGGAGCGGCCGAUGGCAGUUUAGGUAGUUGGUGGGAUAAAAGCUUACCAAGCCGACGAUCGGUAGCUGGUCUGAGAGGACGACCAGCCACACUGGGACUGAGACACGGCCCAGACUCCUACGGGAGGCAGCAGUGGGGAAUUUUGGACAAUGGGCGAAAGCCUGAUCCAGCCAUGCCGCGUGCAGGAUGAAGGCCUUCGGGUUGUAAACUGCUUUUGUACGGAACGAAAAGACUCUGGUUAAUACCUGGGGUCCAUGACGGUACCGUAAGAAUAAGCACCGGCUAACUACGUGCCAGCCGCCGCGGUAAUAC
rnacentral:rRNA from 1 species